rnacentral:tRNA from 1 species
GGGGUUGUAGCUCAGUGGUAGAGCGUGUGCUUAGCAUGCACGAGGUACCGGGUUCAAUCCCCAGUACCUCCA